AGGAGAGUCCUGUGGAUUCACUAGAUUCUGGGACUAUACCUUAUCUAUGCUGUGCAAAGGAAUAAGAAACUAGUGCUGUCUCGGGAACCAGCAACACAGAUGUUCCCAGGAGCAAUGUUUGCAGGGUUCUAUGAGGCUGAAAAUAUUGGAUCAGUAUUCCUGAGGAAUCUGCGUUUCAGAAUCCCAGGUCCGGAAGGACAAGAAGUACUUUGCAAACAAAUCAAAUGUACGUUUAGGAAGAUGAAAUCAUGCAACAGAAAGAUUUUUCAGAAUUUUUCAGCAACAGAUUUUACACACAAUUCAGAAGGAAGAAAGAACAGAUGAGUUUGGGAAUCAGGAGACCAGAUGUCAAGACUGGACUACAUCUUUAUAUUCAUUUCCAGAUUUAAAGUUCUAUGUUGUAUUUUAUUUGAUGCAAAGCAAUAAAAUAUUCCUCCCUCCUGUGACCACC
ensembl:lncRNA novel transcript, antisense to KIRREL3